UGGCGGACGGGUGAGUAACGCGUGGGUAACCUGCCUCAUACAGGGGGAGUAACAGUUGGAAACGGCUGCUAAUACCGCAUAAGCGCACAGUACCGCAUGGUACGGUGUGAAAAACUCCGGUGGUAUGAGAUGGACCCGCGUCUGAUUAGGUAGUUGGUGGGGUAACGGCCUACCAAGCCGACGAUCAGUAGCCGACCUGAGAGGGUGACCGGCCACAUUGGGACUGAGACACGGCCCAAACUCCUACGGGAGGCAGCAUG
rnacentral:rRNA from 1 species